CGCCUAGCAAGUGUGCGGCUGCUCUUUUUUUUUUUUAGUGAGUAGUAGAGCCGUGCGUCUAUACUCGAUUAUUUUCUAAUUUUUAAAAAGAGUAUAGCCGGACGGCUUUACUUGGUUUUUUAAUUUUUAUUUUUAAAUAGGACCGCCGCGCGGCUAUAAUAUUUUUUUACACGUGGCCCCUAAUCCCACUGCGAAGCCUUUUUUAUAAAUAGUAUAGCCGCACGGCUAUACUUGGAAUUUUUUUUCCCCAAAAUAGUAUAGCCGUUCGGCUAUACUGGCCUUG
rnacentral:lncRNA from 1 species